UCCUCUCUCAAACCUUCUGGUUUGGCGUUGGAUCGAGUUGUGGGCCUCCCGCAACUGGUCUCAAAGACAAUGACGGCGUCCGUGGGACCCUCUUCGCAACGAGUCUUUUACGAGGCACGCGAGGAG
rnacentral:misc_RNA from 1 species